rnacentral:sRNA from 1 species
GGAGUCUAGGCUGUUCCUCUCGCGCCACCACUGGCCGCCGGCCGCAGCUCCAAGUGUCCUAGCCGCCCAGCCUCGACGCCGUCUCGGGACCCCUGUGCUCUGCGCGAAGCCCUGGCCCCGGGGGCCGGGGCAUGGGCCAGGGGCGCGGGGUGAAGCGGCUUCCCGCGGGGCCGUGACUGGGCAGGCUUCAGCCAUGAAGACCCUCAUAGCCGCCUACUCCGGGGUACUGCGCGGCGAGCGUCAGGCCGAGGCUGACCGGAGCCAGCGCUCUCACGGAGGACCUGCGCUGUCGCGCGAGGGGUCUGGGAGAUGGGCUGCAGUCGCUGCAUUUGAGGAAGUGAGACCAGGGGGAUGUACACAAGAUGACUGUGCAGAGUGAUCUGAGCAAUGACAGGAAAGACUGCAAAGAGGUGAGACCGGGGAGCUUGAUCACCCUGAGGUCAGGGAAGUCUUCCUGGAAGAGGUGACAUUCAGUCCGGAUCUGGAAAGAUGAAUAGACAUCAGCAAGACAGGCAAGAACAUUCAGGUACAGGAAAUAGCAUAAAUAGAGGCAUGAGAUUUGGAUGGGAGAGGCAGACUGACUGCAGGGCCUCUGAGUGACCAACUGAGGCUGAGGUCCUGGUGUACUGAGAGCC